rnacentral:rRNA from 1 species
ACGGGAGGCAGCAGUGGGGAAUAUUGCACAAUGGGGGAAACCCUGAUGCAGCGACGCCGCGUGAGCGAAGAAGUAUUUCGGUAUGUAAAGCUCUAUCAGCAGGGAAGAUCAUGACGGUACCUGACUAAGAAGCCCCGGCUAACUACGUGCCAGCAGCCGCGGUAAUACGUAGGGGGCAAGCGUUAUCCGGAUUUACUGGGUGUAAAGGGAGCGUAGACGGCGAAGCAAGUCUGGUGUGAAACCCCGGGGCUCAACCUCGGGCCUGCAUUGGAAACUGUUUUGCUUGAGUGCCGGAGAGGUAAGCGGAAUUCCUAGUGUAGCGGUGAAAUGCGUAGAUAUUAGGAGGAACACCAGUGGCGAAGGCGGCUUACUGGACGGCAACUGACGUUGAGGCUCGAAAGCGUGGGGAGCAAACAGGAUUAGAUACCCUGGUA